rnacentral:rRNA from 1 species
AGAGUUUGAUCAUGGCUCAGGACGAACGCUGGCGGCGUGCCUAACACAUGCAAGUCGAACGGGGUCAAUUGGGAGCUUGCUUCUGGUUGACCUAGUGGCACGGGUGAGUAACGCGUGAGGAACCUGCCUUUCAGAGGGGGAUAACGACCUGAAAAGAUCGCUAAUACCGCAUAACAUCGAAGUGUCGCAUGGCACUUGGAGCAAAGGAGCAAUCCGCUGAAAGAUGGCCUCGCGUCCGAUUAGCUGGUUGGAGGGGUAACGGCCCACCAAGGCGACGAUCGGUAGCCGGACUGAGAGGUUGAACGGCCACAUUGGGACUGAGACACGGCCCAGACUCCUACGGGAGGCAGCAGUGGGGGAUAUUGCACAAUGGGGGAAACCCUGAUGCAGCAACGCCGCGUGUGGGAAGAAGGUUUUCGGAUUGUAAACCACUGUUCUUAGUGAAGAAGGAAGUGACGGUAGCUAAGAAGAAAGCUCCGGCUAACUACGUGCCAGCAGCCGCGGUAAUACGUAGGGAGCGAGCGUUGUCCGGAUUUACUGGGUGUAAAGGGUGCGUAGGCGGCCCUGCAAGUCAGACGUGAAAGCCCUGGGCUCAACCCGGGAACUGCGUUAGAAACUGUAGGGCUUGAGUGAAGUAGAGGUAGGCGGAAUUCCCGGUGUAGCGGUGAAAUGCGUAGAGAUCGGGAGGAACACCAGUGGCGAAGGCGGCCUGCUGGGCUUUAACUGACGCUGAGGCACGAAAGCGUGGGUAGCAAACAGGAUUAGAUACCCUGGUAGUCCAUGCUGUAAACGAUGAUUAC